UUCACCUGUGCUGCUGGAAGGGGUGGAGCCUGGCUGCACCUCUUCCCGGACCCAUUUAAGAGCUGACUGCCAAUGAGGAAGGUUCUUUUCUGGAGGUCUGUUCUGCUGGAGUUUCAUAGCGAGCCUGGGAUUUGGGGAAGUAUCCUAUCUAUUCUGCUUUGGUGUAAUAAUUGUGUAGCCAAGUUCCCUGGUAUUUCUCGUAACUAUAACAUCUGUAGAUUCACUGAUUGUAUGGCUCCUCUGAAAGAUGCUCUGAGGGCUGAACUUUUCUUGAAAGCUUUGGGAUUUUAUGAUACUUACGCGUGUUGCAAGCUGCAGAGUUUCUUUCUUUCUUUCCCUUCCUUUUGUCCAGUGAAAUGAAAGCAGGAGGCAUGAAAUGCUCCUGGCUUCUGUGUUCUUAGGUGACACAGAUGACAAGGUAUUCAAUCAGCAAAAGGCCACAAAAGCAGCAGGAAGAGGCAGAAUUCUCUGUGUUUGCUGUUGAUAGAAAUACUAGAAGAAAAUCUCAUUACUGUCUUAAUUCCCUCAAAAACAGGAAUAAUAUUAGCAAUGGUGUCUCUUAAAAAUGGCAUCUGAAAGACAUCAUUGUAAACUGAAGAUUUAAUUUAAAAAAUCUAGAAUGGUGAGUUGUUUGUUGUUUUUGUGCCCUAUUUGCCCACCUGAGAAGGUCCAAGGCUGUCCCAGCCACAUGUGCACCUUCUGAUAAUGGUGAGUGAUGAGAUCUGAGUCAUUAUGCUUACACUUCACAGGACAAAGUGGAAAUUUUGUCUUGUUUGAAGGAAGACUCGCUGCUCAGGUGAGCUAUAAAAUGGCAAAGAUAAUUGUAUUUCAUUACACUGAGUUACAGAAAUCUAGCAGCAACUGAAGUACCGUAAUUAGAGUAGAUAUAUGGGGAAAAAAGGUAGGGAAAUGUAUUACUGCAAAUCUUUAUUUAUUGUAACCACUAUGCUCACUAAAUUUCUGGCCAAAACAUGAUUGUUUUGUUGAAACUGUCAUCCUUCUCGUUAAUAAACUAUCCUUUACUAGUUUACAGUAUGACUGGUUACAAGUUUCGUAUUUUGAAAACCCCUCUUACCUAGGCUAGCAUUUUGUUGGGUGCUAUGUCUAGGAAAACCUUGUAAAAUGAUGCAUGGAUGAAAAAGGUCCAUUCCCUCAAGGUUAAAAUUAGAUGAUAGCAAUAGGUGUGCUUGUAGUUGUAUUUCUGCUGUCUUCACAAUCCAUAAAUAGAAAGUAAAUUCAAGAAAUGAGCAUUUCUUACUAACAGAAUUUGAAGACAGCAUGUUCUCUUAUGUAAGCAACAUGUUUUCAGUAAAUUGUUUCAAGCUGUACAUAUGUGUUUGCCAAUCCUCAAAGCAAGCAUUUUCAGCCAGGUUUUUUGGAUGAUAAUAAGAUUAAUGAUAAAAUAACACUGAAAACAAUUUUAAAAUAACCUUAGGGAUUUAACAUAAAUCCAUAAAAACAAGGAAAUUCUGAGUUAAGGCAGCCAGAGUAUAUUUAACUUAGUCAUUUUUCUUCCCAACUGUAACACGUACGCUCAUUUGUUAGGAGGGGAGGGCCUGAGAGCCCUUGAUAAAAGCACAAACCAUAUGUGCACUGAUGUUGUGUUUAUCUUAAUUAUGACUGAUGGUAUGUGUUUCUUAGAAUGGCUUAAUAGCAUUAAGUAAAAUAGCAUGUAUUUUAUUUCCUCUGCUUAUUGUUUAGUACUGCGUAGCUAACAUUACAUCUAGUGGUCAUCCACUUUUUCCAGUGCCUGAAUUCAGUGUAGUGGGUAUUUCUGUAGCUAGACCUCCUGAAAUGAGAGGUAUUAAUUGUUGUAUAAUGCAAUAGAGUUACGAAGGGUUUAAUCUCACCUUCGAAACAUCGUAAUUUUUGUGUCAAGGUAACGUCUUUAUUACAAUUAUUGUGCAAGUAGUGGUUAUACUUAUACAAAGCAAAAUGUGGUCAUAAUUUCAUAUGAUUGUAUGUUUAUAUAAAAGAUCAAGAGAGAAUACCCACAGAAGGACUACACUGACACUGAAAUAUGUUUGUCUAAUGGGGCUAAUAAGACUCAUUUUGGCCUUUGUACUGGAUGUUUUUUUCAAGUAGAUGUUUUAUGUCAACUCUUGUAAGCUUAUGAAAGAUGCAAACAAGGAAAAUUCAACUGUGUAAUUUGCUGACAAUAAGAGGAUUUAUCAGCCUGCUAGAAACUGUAAAUGUGCUGCACAGACCUGCAACUUGAUCUGAAGGAGCAGUUAUUAGCGGUAUUAGGUUAUAAACCUCCCUGCCACAGAAAAGCCUUAUGAGGUCUGACGUGCUUAUUGCAUGCUGAAUCUCUGACGAGCUGCCUUGCGAAGUUCUGGCAAGUUUCUGCUGAACAUAUGCACAGUGCAGUUUUUCCAGACGUGCUACAGUGCGAAAUUUCAGUUGAUUUUCAAAGGAUGAUCCCUGAACAGCCCCAUACUCCCCACCCCGCAUUUCCAGUCCUUGGUCAAAACUACAUGUAGGGAAGACUUAGCAUCAGGAAAACAUAAUGUUGCUUUUCAUCUGUAUUGUUGGGAAUUGAAAUGUUUUAAGGCAGAAUUUUUCAUUAUAAAAAAUCUGAGGAAGCCUGGCAGGAUGAAAGAGACCAAGUCAAGGAGUUAAUCCUGCAAAAUCAGACAGUGCAAAAAGCAGGGGGUCUUCUAAUGAGAAGGCUUGGGCAGCUAACCUAAUAAUAAUCCUACUGUAUUAGUCUGUAAUUAGAUCACUUCCUUCUGAGAUGACCAAGAAAUAAAUCCUUAUAUGACACUAGUGCCAACAUCUCAUGUCUCAUACCAAGUCGUUGCCUGAAAUCCAAAGAUGUAAAUUUAUAGACGUAUCAAAUAAAUUCACAGGUAGCGUUGCUUUCUGAAACAGGCAGCCUGAUAAGGCAAAGUGAGGUGAAAUCUCACAUCAGUGGGCCAGCCAGCAAAACGCAGUGCAAUUCAAUGACCAUCAGAGACCGCCUGUUUAUCCACCUGAGUUACAGAAAUGGGAGAUGUCCUCAUUCUUUUCACACUCUGAGGACUCGGACAUCUCUUGGAAACUAUGGGCUGGAGCAUGUUAUUUAAGAGGAAAGUACUUACUAGUAGGGAGUAACCCUGUAUUUAGAUUGCCAAAUCCUUUCCGCUGUAAAAACAUCUUUUGACCUUUCUGGGAAAGCUGUAGUUCUCCCUUUGUGCAUGGGAAGCCUCUGAAAGUUGAGGAGAGAGAGCACCUUGGAAACGGAGAAGUAUCUUUUCCACCUCUUGCGUGCUUCUGCUCAGCUCUGGCUAAGGCACAUGCUCGCUUAAGCCCUCCAUUUCCCACUUCCCUUCAUAAAAUGGCAGAAUCAAAGUCUCCGGAUGAAGCUGGGAGAAAGACCUGGCUGAACAACUCUCAGCUAAGGAAGGAGGUCUGCUGCUUCUCUCUUCUCCUGGCCAUGCUCCUCUUCUGGUUCAUUUUGUGCCAGCACUGGCACCUUCAUGCUUUGCCCAAAUUCACAAACCUUGCAGAAAACUAUUACUGCACCAGGGAAUGAGCCGAUUCAGUUCAAGGCAUGUGGGACAGCUAGCAUGAGGACAGAGCUGUUAUCAAGUGGCCAAGAGGAUGGAGGAGAAGGAGUGAGAUCAAAGGGAGAGCAAAUCCUCUUUUUCAGUGACACUUUGGUCCAGCUUAGCCAUUUGGGAAGCUGUGGUCCCAGGCAUUUAUUCUGCUUGGAGCUGUGGAAACACACAUCUUCUCCAGGGAGAUGGGUAGAGAGAUUCAGGCUGAGUGUCCUUGACAAUUUCUUCUGCUCCUGCACUUUGACACAGUGUACAGGUUUAGAGAAAAAAUUGUCCCUGUCGUAGGUUGUCUCCUGUUCGAUUGUACUGUAGUGGGGCAUAUUAAAUUUCAGCCCUGUUCUUUAUAGGGCUGGGCCUUCAGACAUAAAAUGGCAAGAAGUAACUUCCAAAAUAAGAUUAUUAGAUCAAAUAUGUCUAGGAAAUGCUGAAAUGCUUGAAAAUGUGAGUCUGUUGUGAGCAUCCCUAAUUUAGUCCUCUUCUCCUAUGUUCAUGAUGGCACCUUUCUUCAGUGGCACGGGCUCAUCUUUGUCCUGCCUGCAGCUCCCCCUCAUCUUGCAGUGAAUGGAAGUAGCAGGAACUGUUAUAAAGAAGAAAUUGAAGAUUCUGCGUAGGCUUUGGAUGCUGAAUAAGUAUGUCACUAGCCAAAUUGUGAAGACUAGAUAUCUUACAGCUAGCACGCUCUUUGAAUAGUAGAUUCUGUGCUUUAAUCCGACUCCAGAGUACAAAAAUAGCUUUUAAGAAUAAAACUCAAGAUACUAUCAGAAUGCUUACGUAGAAGUGAGCUGAACAGCAGUUAUAUUAGGCAAUCUAAAUUCUGGCAAUACUUGACUUUAACAGAGCUAGAUUUUGCCAUCUUAAUGGUGUGAGUGGGGCCCGUACAAUUGUUUGUACGUCAUUAACAUGAAAGAAAUGAAUAACCAUUCACAAAGCCUUUCCUACGUGCAUUGUGUUCCUUUGUCCAUGAGGAUUAACUCCUUUCUAAGCAAAUCUUCAAAAAGGAAAAUUAUGUACUUAUUAAAAUAACUCAUUUUAGAGCUUCAUAUUUUCACUUAGAUCUUAAUCAAGCUAUUAUUGUAAUUAAAAUAUCCUGAAGUGAGUUCAGAUUUCAUAAAUAGGGAUUUUUUUCCAGGCUGCCUUUGCGUGUGGAGCAAGUUAGCAGAGAGCACGCAGCUUGUAAUGGGGCUCGUUAGUUCCCAUAGUCCUUGCUCAGAGUUUCUUCAGUGACUCAGCUGGAGACCCCGCUGAUCUCUGAAAUGUUUGCCAAAUUUAUUUUCCUGACAUCUCAUAAAGUUUCCAAUUGCAAGUCUCUUACAUACGAGAGUCUCUUGCUCUUGUAUGUCAUAAAAAUACAUUCGAACUCCGAAUUAAAUUGGCAAAGCAGAAUGAAGUAGUUUGAGACAAAACUCCUACUGCCUGUUUAAGUCCCCUUUUUCUAUGGCUGAGUAUUACAGUAUUCUCACAACAGAACUGGAAUGUAUCUUUUUUGCUAUUGUUACUUUAAAACCAUCUUUAAGAGUUUACCCAAUAUACCAAGGGUUUUUAACUGAGCUUUGUGGUAGCCAUUCUCUUUCUCUUUAUACGUCCAGAAAUUCCCUGUUCUUUAUUUGCUUUGCUGACCUUUCAGUAGCAAUUAGUGAACAGCUUUGCAUACACAAAUGUGCAGCAGUCUUUUAGCUCAAGCUAAAACAGAAAUAAUUAUCUCCCUGCAUCUACACAUACUCGUUCUAUUCCUUCUCUCCAGAACUACUUUUGCCCUGGCCUUUGGCACCAUUAAAAUGUAUACAAGUCUCUUUUGUUCAAGUUUGCUUUCCUCUCUCAGUUCGUUGCUGCCUGCUUUGUUUGCCUUUUCUCAGUUAUUAACUGAGUGCCUUCCAUUUCUUUUUUCCCUUCCUUGUACAUAGUUGCACCAAGAGCAAAGCAUGUGGGAUCUUGAUCUCCUCCCUCUGGGAGCCACUGAAGAUCUGUAAGCUGUAGUAGCAUUAUAAAGAUGCAGGUGAUGGCUUUGGAACAUUUGGUAGCUGGUGGCUGCCACAGCAUGAAGCCUGAUAGCAUUGCAAAGCAGAGAAGCCUAAAGCCAGUUUCAGCUCUUCUGCAGCUCUUCUACAAUCUCUGAACCUGAACUAACAGGCUCCUGAUUGAUAGGGAUACAGUCAUCCCUAUAAACUUGCCUCAAGUAAGCUAAAUCUUUUUGAGCAAUUACAGCUGACUCUGUAAGGGUGUAUUACAUGUUCAGUGGAUGGCAAAGUUGCUUUGUUAGUCUCUUGCUCCUCUAGAAUAAUUUUGUCUCCAUUUUCUAUCUGCUGUCUUUGGUGACUUUGCUUUGGUGACCUUCAAAAUACAGUGGGCCAAACAUGGUGCUGUCAUGCAUGGGAUUGGUGCCACGAACAACAGAAUGAAGUAGAAGAGCAGUAAGUUCAACCUUUCUUUCUCCCUCUGAGGAGUCCACUCCCUUCACAGAGCACAGAGUUCAGCUCUCAGCCCAGACCACCCACGUCAUGAAUGAAUGCUCUGAACUUGCCCUCCAACCACCUGGAACUGGAUAGCUGCCUUUCAAAAUAGACUAUACCUUCUUUUGCUUCUUAAUAUCUCAGUUUGCAACAGGAAACCUGAGGAGUCAGACUUGCAUGCCCGCAGGAAUUUGGAGCCUCUUUAUUCAGAAUAAGUAGUGUUGCUACUCGGUGCUUAAGGAGAAACUGAUCGCUUGCAUCCACACAAUGCCCCGGUGAUUUGGUCUUCACAAAUCUGCAAAGAAAUUUGGUGCUUGGUGACUGCUGUCACUCACACCGCUGCUAGAUGUUGGGGGAGAACCUCUAGUGGCAGUAGCAGGACUCAGGCUUAUCAUCCCAGAAGGCUUCAGCUCUAGCACAGGUAAUACUGAAGUGAAUGUCACUGCUUGACAAAGUUAGGGUGAGAGGCUUAAGAAGAAGUGCCGUUAAUUGCCAAUGGAAGCACGAGUGAGGUCUUCCUCUGAUCCUUCUUAACACUUUGGCAUGCCCACUAAGAACAGAAAACAGGACAGAAUUAUGCAACAAUGAUAUAAUUAUCAAAUAGUGUCUAAAUAGUCCAUUCUCAUCUGCCUGGCAGCUCUGGAGAUGAGUUCUGGGAGGACAGGCAACACCUGGGUUCUGGCAAAGCAAGACUUUGAAGUUCAUGUUGCUGAAAGCAUGUCUGACUGCUGAAAGGGAUAAACAGAAGGGUCCUGCUCCAGAAGUCGCAGAGGCUAACCAGUGCUAAACAGCAGUUAUCCGUGGAAAUAUCGUAAGUUUCUGCACAAGGUCCUGCAUUUCUAGACUCUGUCCCAGCAUCUGCAGUCAGGAGAUAAGUCCAACAUUUCCCUACUACCAACCUUUGUAACAUUCAGAGAAAAUAGCAGAAUUUUUGUGUGUAAAUUUGUUUCUAGUUGUGUGCAGCGAAGAAGAGAGAGAAUUGCUGAUGAAGACUUCAUCAAAAGUGGAAUACUGAUCAACGUCUCACUACAUAAACCAAAGAUCGUUUACUGCCAGUGAUGCGCUUUGAUUUUUAUGUCAAAUUCAACCGUAGCAUAACAGCAUUAAUUGACCGUAAGGAUUUAUUUGACUUUUCUUUUUCAAAUGUUUUCAUAUUGUUUCUGGAAAAAAUAUGUGCUAACAGAUUUGCAAUGCACUUAAUUGACAUUCUUGAAGUUUGUGGUGGCCUGCAUUCACAUUCCAGCGCUUCCUCCUGCAUAAACCAAAGCACCUUCCAGAUGUGGUUGAUAAAUUGAUUGUGCUUCUGCUCUGCAAAAGUUGUAUCAAGAUUUCUUAAUGAGAAGCAUGAGCUUUUAUUUAAUUUCAGCUUUUCCAUUCCAGUAAACUCAUCUUUUCAUAGUGACAAAGCCAGCUCUACAAGGUUCAAUCUGGAAGCCCUUUGAGGUUCCUUGCCUGCCAGGAAGGGAAGAGUCAGCUGCUGCUGGGUGAGCACUGGGAGGAGAAACAAUCUGAGAGACUUGCAGACCAUCAUCCAGCCAUUAAAAGGGCAGAGGGAGAAAUGCGAACAAACAGAAUUUCCAGAUUAAUCCUUCCUUGUAUCCUGUUUUUUCCGUUUUAACUUUUAGAUGAAAAACUCCACGGGAUAAAACUUCGUUGUUUGUGUUUCGGGAUUUGUGCAGCAUCAAGCAGAGUAUUGUUAAGGGCAGUAUAAUUCUUCAUGGAUGAGGCAAUGCCAGCUAUGAGUGAUUUAUUUACAGACAGAAAGAAAAGUAUUUUUAAAUGCAUCAAUACCUGUUUUAAUGUGUUUUAGGUGAAACUCAGUUUCCUUUAUGGUCAAGGCUUUAGAAAAAUGUUAGAUCUUCCUAGGCCUAAUAUUUAAAACUUUUCCUCUCAUAAUUAAUGCAGGAUGCUAAAAAGAUUUCAAAAUGGGUUACAUAAAUAAUUAUUUCACUAAUAUGUCUAAAAACAUAACCUGUUUUCCUGGACUAGACAGACAUUUCUUGCAACACUGCAUUUUAAUCCACAUUCCACUGCCUGGAAAAGAUACGCUUAAUUCUUUGGAAAAGAGCUCUAAGAAGUGAGAAAUUGAAAAAUGCUGGCUCCAUCAAUUUUUAGAGCCAGUACGUUUCCCUUUGCUUCAUGGUUGCCAAGAUCUUUUAUCCAUUACGGAUACUCAGACUUACAUCUACUCACUUCACUUGCACAGAUCCAUAUAUUAUGAGGUACUGGAUUCCAGAGUAAGUCUUACCAAAGCACUGCUGAGAUGGCCCCUUAUAUCCUACGAGACCAUCCAUAUUGUGAAAGCUAACAUACUGUUAGGGAAGCAUUGUUAGAUUUACUGCAUAUGAAAGGAAAAAGCAUUCUCUAAAAUUAAGAAAAAUUAAUUUAGCAUGUUAUGUAAAUUUGAGAACGCCUGAUGUUUAUAUGUUAACCUGAGCUGAGCCUGCUUAUAAGGUAAUGCACUCCUUUCUAAUAACUGGGAUGUUGUAUUUUUUUAAUGUUCUCAUUCAUAUAUAUUUUCAUAAUGGAUUGGUUUUCUUUUGUGUCACUCAAACAUUCGUUAUGUUCUUUCUAAGGCACUUUGCUAUGUGAGCUGCACAGAGAUUUCUGAUAAUAAUACUCAUCAGGUGAAUUGCUUUUACCUCUUUCCUGGUUGUCUUCUCUUAUCUUGCUAGACUUAUUUCCCUGGCUAUGUCUGAUAUAAUCCAAGUGCACGUCCAGGGCUUCUCAUUGCAGGAAACAGAGCCUACCUUUUUCAAGUGAUUCUCCUAAUGUAAGCACUCUUCUACAUAGCAGUCACACAAGGAUAUUUGCCAGCACCAUAUUUCAAAUCAUUCCAUUCUGUGCUUUUCAACAACAUUAACAUCUCACGAUUCACUUUCGCUUGUGGGAAAAGCAAGUCUUUUGGUCAGUCAUUUUGAGAUGUUGUGUCUUUAUUUUAACUCUGAUUUUCAUCAGGGAAAGUGGCUGUUCCCAGUUUUUCCUGUUUCCUUGGAACAUCUUCUUGGCUCCUUACAUGGGAUUUCAAGCUCACGGAGCCUGCUUUUAUGAGCCGUUUUUUACUCGCCUAUUUUUACUAAGGACAAAUCAUUUGAUUUUUGUUUUUUGCUACAUUCAGCGAUGGUCACUUGCCAUCUGUUUCUAAGAUUCAAAUUGCAGUUAUGUUGAGCCAGUGAUGGACAAACACAACACUGUGACAUGUUAAUGACAUAGCUAGCUCCCUCUCUGUUACCAGCAUUUGAGCACCCUCUGGUCAGCUGCGUGUCUUGAAGGCUUGUGAUGGGCAAAGUGAGACUCUUCAAAUUGGUCUGCAGUAUUCUCCACAGACAUCACAGCUUCUUACAUUUAAACUGCCCUCUAGAUGUGUUUCUUACAUGUUUCCAUGAUGCAGGGAACAUUUUUUGUGUGGACUUGAGCAUACUUAGUUCUGUUGAUCACUGCACUAUUCUGUGUAGUGCACACUGCUGAUCAGAAAGGACUUUGCUAUAGUAUCAAGAAAAUGACAUGUUUAUCAUAGCUCCUCUAUACAUACCUCCUUGUCACAUCCUGCUCAUAAGA